rnacentral:rRNA from 1 species
UACGAAGGGGGCUAGCGUUGUUCGGAUUUACUGGGCGUAAAGCGCACGUAGGCGGAUCUUUAAGUCAGAGGUGAAAUCCCAAGGCUCAACCUUGGAACUGCCUUUGAUACUGGGGAUCUCGAGUCCGGGAGAGGUGAGUGGAACUGCGAGUGUAGAGGUGAAAUUCGUAGAUAUUCGCAAGAACACCAGUGGCGAAGGCGGCUCACUGGCCCGGUACUGACGCUGAGGUGCGAAAGCGUGGGGAGCAAACAGGG